rnacentral:lncRNA from 1 species
CUACUAGAUAUUUAAUGUAAUCACCAUGAUAAUGGCUAAGAUUUAUUAAGCAUCUGCUAUGUGCUUUAUGGUGCUAAGAACUUCUCAUGUAUUUACUCAUUGAAUCUUCACAAAAACCUUAUGAACAUCAGAGCUGAUGAAUACUCAGUCAGAAGAAAUGCAGGCCUGCAGGUUUGUCCACAAAGUGUUCCCAUCAACCGUGACGGCUCUCUCAAAUGUUACUGUCUAUAUGAAUCCACCUUGGGAUAUUAGUAAAAUGAGUUUCUGAUACAGAAGAUCUAGAAAGCGCCUGAAAUGCUGAUAUUCUGUCUCCCAGGUGGAGGAGUUCAGCUAUUACCUUGACUUUGCCGAAGUCCUAGGCACUCCCAUGCCCUCAGAGUCUCAUUUUGAAUCCAGGCACUUAGGGAUGCUAUUUUUCCACAUCAAACAGCUUCCUCCCAGCCAAAGAAUUCUGGUGACAGUAGUGAAGAUAAUUUUCACUCCUGCUUACAGAAUGACAAAGCAAAAGCAAAGAGGAGAAGAAUGAAGUAAAGACAACCAAAGGAAAAGACUGAUGGCUCCUUAAGAAUGAUCUUGAUAAAGGAAUGGUGGCUGAGGGGUCCAUCUCCUAAACCACCCACCUUACUGACUCCCUAGAGCAAUGCCAUACAGAAAGCUGCACCUUGAGGGGAAGACACAAGAAUCCUGGAGUGGAAAAAAAUUGGGUAAUGAUGACAGCCUUCGAGGUCUUGAGAGUAAAGCAGAAGCAAAAAAAAAGUGUUAUUUUUAUCUUUUGAAGAUGGUUCCCUCUUAAGACUUUUGCGAAUGAUUAAGAUUUCAAUUAUGUUCCAGGAAAAAAAUAAGAUUUUUGCUUGACAAAAAAAAUUUUUGUCUAGAACAGGUGGGAAGGAAGAGAUAGUUUAGCCACAUCCAAGAGACCUGUAAAUUGGGUACAGUGAAGUGAAUGGUGUACCAGUCAUAAAAGAAUGUUAACUGGAGAAGUCUCUGCUGUCUUCCUGUAACUGAGGGGGGUGUAACCAUCCUUGUGGAAGCGUCCACUUUUAUUGAAGAUUGGCUAAAUAAAUCUGUGCCUACUGAAACUCAAG